rnacentral:rRNA from 1 species
UUAAAUUGAAGAGUUUGAUCAUGGCUCAGAUUGAACGCUGGCGGCAGGCCUAACACAUGCAAGUCGAACGGUAACAGGAAGCAGCUUGCUGCUUCGCUGACGAGUGGCGGACGGGUGAGUAAUGUCUGGGAAACUGCCUGGUGGAGGGGGAUAACUACUGGAAACGGUGGCUAAUACCGCAUAACGUCGCAAGACCAAAGAGGGGGACCUUCGGGCCUCUUGCCAUCAGAUGUGCCCAGAUGGGAUUAGCUUGUUGGUGAGGUAACGGCUCACCAAGGCGACGAUCCCUAGCUGGUCUGAGAGGAUGACCAGCCACACUGGAACUGAGACACGGUCCAGACUCCUACGGAGGCAGCAGUGGGGAAUAUUGCACAAUGGGCGCAAGCCUGAUGCAGCCAUGCCGCG